GACGAACGCUGGCGGCGUGCUUAACACAUGCAAGUCGAACGGAAAGGCCUCUUUCGGGGGGUACUCGAGUGGCGAACGGGUGAGUAACACGUGAGUAACUAGCCCUUGACUUUGGGUUAACUUCAGUAAAGUGGGGCUAAUACCGGAUAGUAGCUCCUGCGGCAUGGUGGGGGCUGGAAAGGUUCGGCGGUUGGGGGUGGCUUCGUGGCGUAUCGGCUUGUUUGUGGGGUAGUGGGUUACCGAGGCCUUUGCGUGUCGGCGGCCUGAGGGAGUGACCGGCCACAUUGGGACUUACGGGCGGCCCAAGCUCCGACGGGAGGCAGCUGGGGGGAAGAUUGCACAAUGGGUGGAAGCCGGAUGCAGCAACGCCGUGUACGGGAAGACGGCCUUCGGGUUGUAGACCGCUUUCGCUCAUGACGAAGCUUUGUGUGACGGUAGUGGGUAAAGAAGCACCGGCUAACUACGUG
rnacentral:rRNA from 1 species